rnacentral:misc_RNA from 1 species
CAUUGCCGACUCGGCUGAAAUACACGAGCUACCCAUUUCUAAGAAACAGACGGUUUGACUCGGCGUAAUAACAUAUUUAACAUAUUUCGCUGAGGACGUCACAUUCUUUAAACGUCAGUGGUGCUUCUAAUGCGACAUCUAGUCUAGACUAGACCUAAGCUUUAGACCUCAAAUCAGUCAGGACUACCCGCUGAACUUAA